AAGUCGAGCGGUAGCACAGAGAGCUUGCUCUCGGGUGACGAGCGGCGGACGGGUGAGUAAUGUCUGGGAAACUGCCUGAUGGAGGGGGAUAACUACUGGAAACGGUAGCUAAUACCGCAUAACGUCGCAAGACCAAAGUGGGGGACCUUCGGGCCUCAUGCCAUCAGAUGUGCCCAGAUGGGAUUAGCUGGUAGGUGGGGUAACGGCUCACCUAGGCGACGAUCCCUAGCUGGUCUGAGAGGAUGACCAGCCACACUGGAACUGAGACACGGUCCAGACUCCUACGGGAGGCAGCAGUGGGGAAUAUUGCACAAUGGGCGCAAGCCUGAUGCAGCCAUGCCGCGUGUGUGAAGAAGGCCUUCGGGUUGUAAAGCACUUUCAGCGGGGAGGAAGGCGGUGAGGUUAAUAACCUUGUCGAUUGACGUUACCCGCAGAAGAAGCACCGGCUAACUCCGUGCCAGCAGCCGCGGUAAUACGGAGGGUGCAAGCGUUAAUCGGAAUUACUGGGCGUAAAGCGCACGCAGGCGGUCUGUCAAGUCGGAUGUGAAAUCCCCGGGCUCAACCUGGGAACUGCAUUCGAAACUGGCAGGCUAGAGUCUUGUAGAGGGGGGUAGAAUUCCAGGUGUAGCGGUGAAAUGCGUAGAGAUCUGGAGGAAUACCGGUGGCGAAGGCGGCCCCCUGGACAAAGACUGACGCUCAGGUGCGAAAGCGUGGGGAGCAAACAGGAUUAGAUACCCUGGUAGUCCACGCUGUAAACGAUGUCGAUUUGGAGGUUGUGCCCUUGAGGCGUGGCUUCCGGAGCUAACGCGUUAAAUCGACCGCCUGGGGAGUACGGCCGCAAGGUUAAAACUCAAAUGAAUUGACGGGGGCCCGCACAAGCGGUGGAGCAUGUGGUUUAAUUCGAUGCAACGCGAAGAACCUUACCUGGUCUUGACAUCCACAGAACUUUCCAGAGAUGGAUUGGUGCCUUCGGGAACUGUGAGACAGGUGCUGCAUGGCUGUCGUCAGCUCGUGUUGUGAAAUGUUGGGUUAAGUCCCGCAACGAGCGCAACCCUUAUCCUUUGUUGCCAGCGGUCCGGCCGGGAACUCAAAGGAGACUGCCAGUGAUAAACUGGAGGAAGGUGGGGAUGACGUCAAGUCAUCAUGGCCCUUACGACCAGGGCUACACACGUGCUACAAUGGCAUAUACAAAGAGAAGCGACCUCGCGAGAGCAAGCGGACCUCAUAAAGUAUGUCGUAGUCCGGAUUGGAGUCUGCAACUCGACUCCAUGAAGUCGGAAUCGCUAGUAAUCGUAGAUCAGAAUGCUACGGUGAAUACGUUCCCGGGCCUUGUACACACCGCCCGUCACACCAUGGGAGUGGGUUGCAAAAGAAGUAGGUAGCUUAACCUUCGGGAGGGCGCUUAC
rnacentral:rRNA from 1 species